rnacentral:rRNA from 1 species
CCUACGGGUGGCAGCAGUGAGGAAUAUUGGUCAAUGGACGAAAGUCUGAACCAGCCAUGCCGCGUGAAGGAUGACUGCUCUAUGAGUUGUAAACUGCUUUUAUAUAAGGAUAAAAUGUUAUACGUGUGUGCAUCUGUAUGUACUAUAUGAAUAAGGAUCGGCUAACUCCGUGCCAGCAGCCGCGGUAAUACGGAGGAUCCGAGCGUUAUCCGGAUUUAUUGGGUUUAAAGGGUGCGUAGGUGGAUUGUUAAGUUAGAUGUGAAAGUUUGAGGCUUAACCCUGGAAUUGCAGUUGAUACUGGUAAUCUAGAGAAUAGUUGAGGUGGGCGGAAUGCGUGGUGUAGCGGUGAAAUGCUUAGAUAUCACGAAGAACACCGAUUGCGAAGGCAGCUCAC